rnacentral:rRNA from 1 species
CAUGCUUUUACAGUAUGAAAAUUGGUGAUUUAUAAUAACUUAGCAAAUCGCAAAGUGAAAACAGGCGAUAAAUCAUUCAAGUUUCUGACCUAUCAGCUUUCGACGGUAUGGUAUUGGCUUACCGUGGCAGUGACGGUUAACGGGGGAUUAGGGUUCGAUUCCGGAGAGGGAGCCUGAGAAACGGCUACCACAUCUAAGGAAGGCAGCAGGCGCGCAAAUUACCCAAUUCUAACAGUUUGAGAGAGGUAGUAACAAGAAAUAACAAUACAAGGCAGUUAAAAUGCUUUGUAAUUGGAAUGAUAGAAAUUUAAACCCUUUUUAAAGUAUCAAUUGGAGGGCAAGUCUGGUGCCAGCAGCCGCGGUAAUUCCAGCUCCAAUAGCGUAUAUUAAAAUUGUUGCAGUUAAAAAGCUCGUAGUUGAAGUUCUGCUAAAAGUAACCGGUCUGCUUUGAAUAAAAGUGGUAUCUUGGUAUGUAUUUAGCAAUGAUGUCCUUUGAAGUGUUUUUUACUUUAUUGUAAUAAAGCAUAUUCAGGACUUUUACUUUGAGAAAAUUAGAGUGUUUCUAGCAGGCCAACGCUUUGAAUACUGCAGCAUGGAAUAAUAAG